GUGGAGGUUUGCCUGCAGGGUAGAAUUUCAGAAUUUCCACAGUACAUGAAUCUCAAAUAUUUUCUUUCAGCACAAACUGCUCGUUGAGCACAGUCAGCCACCAGCUUUCUCUAGGGUGCUGCUUUCACUAAAUGAACUGCUACAUUCCGCAUCAGUGAAGGAACUCAGUUUGGGUGGAGAUGGAUAAAACCCAUCUAGGACACAGUUAAAGGCUAAGUACGGAGCCAGUAUCCUUCCACGAUGUGGGAAGACAAUCUGCAGUUUUGUCUCAGGUGACCCUCGAGAGGAAAAGGCUGAUGUCUAUGACUUUCCCUUCCCUUCAAGAAAUGUUGAAAAAGUAAUUAAACGAAAGAAGAAGAAGGUAUGAAACGUGGGAGCUGAAUUUAGCUGCCUUUGCAUUUGAGAU
rnacentral:lncRNA from 1 species